rnacentral:rRNA from 1 species
UUGACAAAACAAGUUCUGUCUCUAUUAUUUAAUUAAAAUUUAACUUUUAAGUGAAAAGGCUUAAAUAAAUCAAAGGGACGAUAAGACCCUAAAAGCUUUAUAUUUGUAUUUUAUUUUAAAAAAUUAAUUUAAUUAUAAAAUUAAAAUAACUUUAAUUAGUUGGGGCGACGUGUAAAUAAUUUUUAUAACUUUAUUUAUUUAAAACAUAAAUAUAUGAAAUUUGUUGAUCUUUAUUAAAAAUUUUAAGUAAAGUUACUUUAGGGAUAACAGCGUUAUUUUUUCUGAGAGUUCUUAUCGAAGAAAAAGAUUGCGACCUCGAUGUUGAAUUAAAAAUUCUGUUUGGUGCAGUAGCUAAAUAAGAAGGUCUGUUCGACCUUUAAAUUUUUACACGAUUU